UUUACAGUAGCUUGAAUGUAGUUUCAGAGAGCCCUCGAAUGUAGUUUUACAGAGCUUUCGAAUGCAGUUUCACAGGGCCUUGGAAUGUGGUUUCACGAUGCCCUCGAUAGUGGAUUCACCCUAAAGUAAAAGUAACCUUUAGAUGUAAUUUAGUUGAGUUUGUGCUGCCGUCCUGUACUGUUAGACUUAGAGAGGGCUAAAGAGCUAGAGAACUUGCUCCUGGCAAGUGCACCUGAUAGAGGCAGGUUUGUCAAGCUUGAAGAGGUUAUCGAGUGCUACCGAUGACAGUGACAAUAACAUGGCUCCUGUUUUCUCGGCCUCCUUUGUGAGAGAACAAGAAAAGCCAGAACAGUCUUUCCGCCAUCUUGAAAUGUUCGUCCACUGCUUGGAGGACACUUCGUCGAGCGGUCACAGUAACUGCACCUUGGUUUACCACCAGCUUGUAAAUUCAAUAGAAGUUACCAGACUCGUCUUAGGGCACGUAGAAUUUACGAAAGUAUGGUAUUAAAGUAGACACUGUAUGAUCUUAACUUCCACACGUUUGUUCAAAAAAGCAUCAAGUGUACUUUUUAGCCAGUCGUUGACCUUUACUUUGGUUUGUCGUUUAAGUGUCAUGUACGCAGACUUUUGAAACAAAAAAUUAAGUUAGAUAUUAAACAAACUGAUGGCAAUUUUAAAAAUCCGAGACUGCAUUAUAUCAGCGGUUCACUGGA